rnacentral:rRNA from 1 species
UACGAAGGGGGCUAGCGUUGCUCGGAAUCACUGGGCGUAAAGGGUGCGUAGGCGGGUCUUUAAGUCAGGGGUGAAAUCCUGGAGCUCAACUCCAGAACUGCCUUUGAUACUGAAGAUCUUGAGUUCGGGAGAGGUGAGUGGAACUGCGAGUGUAGAGGUGAAAAUUCGUAGAUAUUCGCAAGACACCAGUGGCGAAGGCGGCUCACUGGCCCGAUACUGACGCUGAG